rnacentral:pre_miRNA from 1 species
CAAAUACUCCCUCCGUCCGUAAAUACUUGUCAUUAAAAUGGAUAAAAGGAAAUGUAUAUAGACGUAUUUUAGUUUUAGAUACAUCUCUUUUUAUCCAUUUUGAUGACAAGUAUUUUUGGACGGAGGGAGUAGAAA